UUUCGGACUGCUGACGACCGGCGCACGGGUGCGUAACGCGUAUACAAUCUACCUUUUGCUAAGGGAUAGCCCGGAGAAAUUUGGAUUAAUACUUUAUGGUAUGUAUUUAUGGCAUCAUAGAUACAUUAAAGGUUACGGCAAAAGAUGAGUAUGCGUUCUAUUAGCUAGAUGGUAAGGUAACGGCUUACCAUGGCUACGAUAGAUAGGGGCCCUGAGAGGGGGAUCCCCCACACUGGUACUGAGACACGGACCAGACUCCUACGGGAGGCAGCAGUGAGGAAUAUUGGACAAUGGAGGGAACUCUGAUCCAGCCAUGCCGCGUGCAGGAAGACUGCCCUAUGGGUUGUAAACUGCUUUUAUACAAGAAGAAUAAGAGAUACGUGUAUCUUGAUGACGGUAUUGUAAGAAUAAGCACCGGCUAACUCCGUGCCAGCAGCCGCGGUAAUACGGAGGGUGCAAGCGUUAUCCGGAAUCAUUGGGUUUAAAGGGUCCGUAGGCGGAUUAAUAAGUCAGUGGUGAAAGUCUGCAGCUUAACUGUAGAAUUGCCAUUGAUACUGUUAGUCUUGAAUUAUUAUGAAGUAGUUAAAAUAUGUAGUGUAGCGGUGAGAUGCAUAGAUA
rnacentral:rRNA from 1 species